CUCCUCUCCACAUCCCUCCUUCCCGUUUGGCUGCCUCCUCCCUGCCCUGCUGCACAGAGACACUGGUAAUAAUGACAACAACACACAGAGAAAGACUUUAUACUGUAAGGGAGAGAAAGAGAGAGAAAAUCAACAUCCACAAGCCGAAAAUAAUGCAUACCGUUAAAUAUACCUGUUAUAACUCCAAGGGGAGCACCAUCUACCUAUCCACCACCAAAACUGACAGCCGAGCAAGCAACUUCUUUCUCUCCACCCCAUCGCUGGAUUGUUCCUUCCACUCUUGCUCAUCGUAUAAAACAACUUUUACCAGUAAAUAUCGGUUUAUUCCUGAAACCAGAAGCCCUAAACAUAUCUUUGUUUAUAAGCUGUCUUUUUGUGAUUAUGAUUGUGCAAUAUUAUUGGCCACAACUUUAAUCUGAGCAAUUGACACUGGUCUAUCUUCAAAUCAUUCAGAAGACUUGAAGAGAACUCCUCUUUCUACUCUGGAAUUCAAAUGUAUAUAUUUUAUCUGAAGUACGUUAUUUAAAAGUCAAAUUUGUCUCAUCUUCAGUACCUAUACAAUUCAAAAAGUUCCAAAAAUACUAUAUUAUGAGCUUUACCUAUAUAGAUAAUUCCUUUCAUGAUUUCAAAUUGAAAAAAGACUUCAUUAAUUAAUGAAGUAUAUCAGCCGUGGUUUUUUUAGUGUCAAUAUUCUAAUUUUGUAAUAUUGUCAAUAUUUAAUCAAAUUGUUGCACAGAUGCCAAUUCAAUUUUAUUCAAAGGUGCUUGACUUUUCCAUACUAUAUUUCUGUCAGUAUUCAGGUGAUACAGAUAAUUCUGUGUGCAAACUUCCCACAAUACUAAAUAUCCCUAUAGAGAUAUAGAGAUACAUUCAUACAGCUGGAAUUCUAAGCCCAAUAUUGUUAAAUAUCUUUACUGAGUGCCUGUUAAUAUGGUAAUUUGAAAUUGUGUAUAACAAAAUGAUCAGGUUCACAAUGUCAGACUAAAAUUUCAAAUACUGAUUUGAUAGGCUAAACAAGGCCUUUUCUAGCUAAUUUGCUCUUGUUACUUUCAAGUGUUAAAACAAGCCAGGAUUUACCAAGUGUAUAUUUUUUUCAUUGCAGGUAAAGCAGAAACUAAGUCUUCAAAUGAGUCAGUAUUCAUAAAUCAACUUAGCCCCUUAAAGAUGGCUUCUAAUCCUUAAUUGUUAGAAAUAUUUAAUCAUAGUCAUGAGAAUCUAUUAAUAAAUUCAUUUUCCUAUUUUUUUCUUAUCCUCACAAUCAGAAGGAAGAAGCAAAACGUGAUUAUACCACAUGUACCCAAAAACUGCUAAGAGAUAAUAUGGUUUAUUUUGCCAUAUGAAGGUUUUUACUGCUUUAUGUGCAAAUCUGGCCAGUGAAUUGGUAGGGUUUGUAAAUAUUUUUGAAUAGAUGCCACCAGAAAGAUAGUAAAAACUGAAAGACACUUUAAAAUUUGACAGAAUAAAAACUGAACAAUAGUUUAAAUUAGUUUUAAAAUUCUUUGGGCCUGAGAUCUUCUCAAUUUUCUGUCCUCUUGAAUUUUUAACUUAGAAUGAACUUGGUUCAAAUGUAGGAUUUGUCCCAAGGCUUUAGCACCUUGUGCACAGUUUAAACAUUUCCAAACUGUUUUCUAGGUAAGAAGAAUAAUGGGAACUACUCUGGAAAUCAGUGCUUGUUCUGAGAAUCUUUUCUUCUCAAGAUGAGGUACCUGCACAAAUAAUCCAGGAAGUUCAGAAUGUUAUUGUCUCUUGAGAAAUAUUGACUGUUGGAUGACUUUUUGUUAUCUGAAUGUAGGGGUACUGUUAAAAUUUAUAACCACUUUUAAAAUAGAAGGAUUUCCUUUUUCUCACAAUGGUGCACAUCAUUGUAUUUGAAUGGAAAGAUCUGACGGGGCAAAGUAAUCCUAAAUACCUUUCCUUUCUGGAUUUAGAAUGUUUUGCACAUUUCAAUUUUCUGUAAAGAUCAGAACAAUAUUUCUCUUGUCUGCAUAUUUUUGCUAGUUAAUAUUUAUUAGAUGUGCCAAGCUCCAUUGGAUAUAUUUUUCUGUAACUUCUGAAAUUAUUAAAUAACCAUAUACUGUAUGAGUGCACACAUUAGAACACUGGAAUGUUGAACUAAGCAUUUUUAUGUAAAUAAUUACUACUUUUCAGUUGCAGAAAAGCCUGGAUAUCAUCUCAUAACUGUUGUAUUUUGCUCUAAUGGGAAAUGUUCAGACAUUCUGUGAUAUAUGUACUUGUGCCAAUGGUUAUGUGUAACUACUAAUUAUAAAUUGUAAACAUGCUUGUUUCAUUGUUCAGAAUAGUAUUCUCUUGUUAAAAAUAUUUUCAGUGAAAUGUGAAAAGGAAUUUAUUUAUUUUUUUAAGAUUGUCUUGCAAGGUCUGUUUUCUCUACUUUUUUCCUAAAAAAUAGUAGGGUAAAGAUUGGAAUUUUGUCUAGUUUUUCACUUGAUAGACCAAAGUUACUAUUGACACUGUCUUGCAAUGCUGAUCAAAUGUAUAUCUUUUUGCACUUUAAAUGAAUAAGAAAUGAGGAAAAUCAAAGUGUCAAUUGUACAUACAUUCACUGUACAGUGAAUGUAUACCAUUAGUUAAUCUGUUUUUAAACAGAAUAUUUUCCUUUGUGGGAAGGGGAAUACUCAAGCAAUGUAUUUGCUAGUCAAUAUAAAGUGUUUACAUGUAAUUACUUAAUAAAUUAUUUGAUUUAAGAUGAAUCUUUCUGGUGAUUUUUAAAUGAUAACUAUAAUAUCUGGUUUUUGUCAGGGUAUAAGUAUUUAAAAAGUAUAUGGAAUAAUCAGUUUCAAUAUAUUCAUUUGAUUAAAAUUCUGAGGAAGGCAAAAGUCCUGAACUUGAGGCUGCGUGCAGGAACUUUGCUUCACUUUGCAUUAGACACCUUACAGCCUC
ensembl:lncRNA